rnacentral:rRNA from 1 species
UACGUAGGGUGCAAGCGUUAAUCGGAAUUACUGGGCGUAAAGCGUGCGCAGGCGGUGAUGUAAGACAGAUGUGAAAUCCCCGGGCUCAACCUGGGAACUGCAUUUGUGACUGCAUCGCUGGAGUGCGGCAGAGGGGGAUGGAAUUCCGCGUGUAGCAGUGAAAUGCGUAGAUAUGCGGAGGAACACCGAUGGCGAAGGCAAUCCCCUGGGCCGUACCUGACACUGAUGCGCGACAGCAUGGGGAGCAAACAGG